CAAUAGCGUAUAUUUAAGUUGCUGCAGUUAAAAAGCUCGUAGUUGGAUUUCGGGUGGGAAUGGCCGGUCCGCCGUUACGGUGUGCACUUGCUACGCCCACCUUGCUGCCGGGGACGUGCUCUUGAGUUCACGCUCGGGACACGGAGUCGGCGAGGUUACUUUGAGUAAAUUAGAGUGUUCAAAGCAGGCCUACGCUCUGAAUACAUUAGCAUGGAAUAACACGAUAGGACUCUGGCCUAUCUUGUUGGUCUGUAGGACCGGAGUAAUGAUUAAGAGGGACAGUCGGGGGCAUUCGUAUUUCAUUGUCAGAGGUGAAAUUCUUGGAUUUAUGAAAGACGAACUACUGCGAAAGCAUUUGCCAAGGAUGUUUUCAUUAA
rnacentral:rRNA from 1 species